AGAGUUUGAUCAUGGCUCAGGACGAACGCUGGCGGCGUGCCUAAUACAUGCAAGUCGAGCGAAUCAUCAGGAGCUUGCUCCUGUUGGUUAGCGGCGGACGGGUGAGUAACACGUGGGCAACCUGCCUGUAAGACUGGGAUAACACCGGGAAACCGGUGCUAAUACCGGAUAAUCUUUUUCCUCUCAUGAGGAAAAACUGAAAGACGGUUUCGGCUGUCACUUACAGAUGGGCCCGCGGCGCAUUAGCUAGUUGGUGAGGUAACGGCUCACCAAGGCGACGAUGCGUAGCCGACCUGAGAGGGUGAUCGGCCACACUGGGACUGAGACACGGCCCAGACUCCUACGGGAGGCAGCAGUAGGGAAUCUUCCACAAUGGACGAAAGUCUGAUGGAGCAACGCCGCGUGAGCGAUGAAGGCCUUCGGGUCGUAAAGCUCUGUUGUUAGGGAAGAACAAGUACCGGAGUAACUGCCGGUACCUUGACGGUACCUAACCAGAAAGCCACGGCUAACUACGUGCCAGCCGCCGCGGUAAUAC
rnacentral:rRNA from 1 species